rnacentral:rRNA from 1 species
AACGAACGCUGGCGGCAUGCCUAACACAUGCAAGUCGAACGAACCCUUCGGGACUAGUGGCCUCCGGCUGUGUCACGCGUGGGGACCUGCACAUGUGUUCGGAAUACCUCCCCGAAAGGGGUGACAAUACCGGACAAUGUCUUCGGCCCAAGGAUUUAUUGACCUUGGAUGUGCCCGCGUUGGAUUAGGUUGUUGGUACGCUUAAAGCUUAACAAGGCGCCGAUCCGUAGCUUGUCUGAGAGGCUGAUCAGCGACACUGGGACUGAGAAGCGGCCCAGAAUCCUCCGGGAGGGAGGAGUGCGGAAUGUUGGACAACGGGCGAAAGCCUGAUGGAGUAAUGCCGCGUGAGUGAUGUAGGUAGUAGAGUUGUAAAGCGCUAUUACCCGGGAUGAUAAUGACAGUACCGGGACAAUAAGCUCCGGCUAACUCCGUG